rnacentral:lncRNA from 1 species
CAGACACAGAGGAGAAAGCCAUGUGAAGACAGAGGCAGAGGUUGGAGUCAUGCAGCUACAAACCAAGGGACAUCAGGGAUUACUGGCAACCAUCGGGAAAGAGGCCUGGAGCAGAUUCAUCUUCAGCACCCCCAGAGAGAAUGAGCCCUGCCAAAAGCUGGAUUUUUGACUUCUAGUCUUCAAACUUAUGAGAGCCAAGCAUGGUGGCUCAUACCUGUAAUCCCGGCCCUUUGGGAAGCCAAAGCAGGAGGACAGCUUGAGCCCAGGAGUUCGAGGCCAGCCUGGGCAACAUGGAGAAUGUCUUCUCCAAGCAGCUAUUUUUAUGGGAACCAGAGGAUACUGACCAGAGGAAGAUAAGGAGCCUUUCCUUCACAUGGGUCUAAGAAACUCACCAUUUUCCUCAACAUCUGACCUGACAACUGGUUUCCCAGCAUUGGCCCCAAGAAAUACCACCUGCCAUCGCUACCUGGAUUCUGCAGCCCCCAAAGCCACAGCCUUCCACCUUCCUUCCCCAGCAAGACAAAUGGGGUAACCUGUUUGUAGCAUCCUCAGGAGUCCUUGGGGGGAGGAGAACCUGACGGAGAUGAGAAGAUAGGCCACGCCCAGCUCCAACGAGUGGCACACGUGUAAGCAUUUAAGCAUUUAGGCUGGCUGAGGGUGGCAGUCCUGACCUCUGUUUUUAAGGAAGCCUGCCCAGGGUUUUAUAGUCCAGGGUUCCUUGUGAUCCUCAAGGCUUCCUUUACUCCUACCCCUGAAAAAACUCCAAGGGAAGAACUUCAAAGCUGCUUUCUCUUUAUAAAUCUCACAGCCUGGGGACAUUCUGCCCACCCAAGUAAAACCCCCAGAUCUAUGAUGCAUCUGGAGGUUUCCAAGGCUUCCCUGGCUUUAUUGGAUAGUCUCUUCCCAACAGCCCUUGGGGUUCUUGUUCAAUGAGCUUACUUAGCCAGGUUGUACAUUCUAUCCAAAUACUACCUAUCCUUAGGCACUUCCCCUGAGACAUCACAUCUCCAGGAAGCCUCCCUCAGACUGGUUGGGUUCCCCAGAGCACUUUGCCCUUAGCUCUAGUAAAGCACAGGUACAUCAUGAUGGUUAGUAUUGAGUAUCAACUUGAUUGGAUUGAAGGAUGUGAAAUACUGUUCCUGGGUGUGUCUGUGAGGGUGAUGUCAAAGGAGAUUAACAUUCGAGUCAGUGGACUGGGAGAGGCAGACCCACCCUCAAUCCGGGUGGGCAGCAUCUAAUCAGCUGCCAGCACAGCUAGGAUAAAGCAGGCAGAAGAACGUGGAAAAACUAGACUUGCUGAGUCUUCAGCCUUCAUCUUUCUCCCAUGCUGGAUGCUUCCUGCCCUCAAACAUCAGACUCCAAGUUCUUCAGCUUUGGGACUCCUGGACCUACAUCAGUGGUAUUCCAGGGGCUCUUGGGCCUUUGGCCACAGACUGAAGACUGCACUGUUGGCUUCCCUACUUUUGAGGUUUGGGGACUCAGACUGACCCACCACUGGCUUCCUUGCUCCUCAACUUGUAAACGGCCUAUUGUGGGACUUUGACCUUGUGAUCGUGUGAAUCAAUUCUCCUUAAUAAAAUCCCUUUCCUAUAUACA